UACGGAGGGUGCGAGCGUUAUCCGGAUUCACUGGGUUUAAAGGGUGCGUAGGAGGGCAGGUAAGUCAGUGGUGAAAUCUCCGAGCUUAACUCGGAAACUGCCGUUGAUACUAUCUGUCUUGAAUCCCGUGGAGAUGAGCGGAAUAUGUCAUGUAGCGGUGAAAUGCUUAGAUAUGACAUAGAACACCAAUUGCGAAGGCAGCUCGUUACACGAAGAUUGACUCUGAGGCACGAAAGCGUGGGGAUCAAACAGG
rnacentral:rRNA from 1 species